rnacentral:lncRNA from 1 species
GGUGCUGCACUCAAACUGCAGGUACACACGUUUUAGAUGGGAAGUUUCUUGGCGGGAACCCCUUGUAGAUUUUCAUCUAUAGUCAGUGAUACCCAAUUCCACUAAGGGCCUUACAUUUUUCAUAUGAUUUACAUAGAUGGCUUAAGGUACGACGGGGCCUUGUCUCGACAUAUUUAUGGAUCAUGUCAUAUGUUAGAGGUUUCGUAGACUAUGUCCAAAUCAGGUUCUUAUAGUUAGAGUAUGUCUUCCAUACUGCCCUAUGGGUCCACUAAGAUAGCAUAUGCACUGAUGACUUUUAUAUGUAUAAAAUAAUAGCUUCUUAUUCUAGUUGAUGAUCAAUGCAUCACUUAAUAUAUUUUGCUGUUGUCCCUUGUAGGUAUGUUCAGUUAAGUGGUCCGCUCGGUCAUGUGAGGUAUCAAGUUAAGGCACCGAGUGCC